rnacentral:rRNA from 1 species
CCUCUUCCCAUUCCGAACAGAGAAGUUAAGCUCGCUAUCGCCGAUGGUACUGAAUUUCGGGAGAGUAGGUAGCCGCCGCUU